UGAUCGAAGCCCCGGUAAACGGCGGCCGUAACGAUAACGGUCCUAAGGUAGCGAAAUUCCUUGUCGGGUAAGUUCCGACCUGCACGAAUGGCGUAAUGAUGGCCAGGCUGUCUCCACCCGAGACUCAGUGAAAUUGAAAUCGCUGUGAAGAUGCAGUGUAUCCGCGGCUAGACGGAAAGACCCCGUGAACCUUUACUAUAGCUUGACACUGAACAUUGAGCCUUGAUGUGUAGGAUAGGUGGGAGGCUUUGAAGCGUGGACGCCAGUCUGCAUGGAGCCAACCUUGAAAUACCACCCUUUAAUGUUUGAUGUUCUAAC
rnacentral:rRNA from 1 species